GUCUUCUUGUUAUAUUUAGGAAGUCUGGCCUGCCCAGUGAAAAUAAUUUAACGGCCGCGGUAUACUGACCGUGCAAAGGUAGCAUAAUCAUUAGUCUUUUAAUAGAGGGCUGGUAUGAAGGGUUUAACGAGGUGUUGACUGUCUCAUUUAAUUUGAAUUUAGAAUUUAAUUUUUUAGUUAAAAAGCUGAAAUAUUAUUGGAAGACGAGAAGACCCUAUAGAGCUUUAUAUUUUUAUUAUUAAUUUAUUUUAGUUUAUUAUUAUUUAUUAUUAAUAGAAAGUAUUUUGUUGGGGUGACAAAAAUAUAUACAUAACUUUUUUAUUUUAUUUACAUUGAUAUAUGAAUAUUAGAUCCAAUCUUAUUGAUUGUUAGAUUAAGUUACCUUAGGGAUAACAGCGUAAUCCCUCUCCAGAGUUCAUAUUUACAGAGGGGCUUGCGACCUCGAUGUUGGAUUAAGAUAAUAAUUAGGUGCAGCCGCUUAAUUAAUAGGUCUGUUCGACCUUUAAAUUCUU
rnacentral:rRNA from 1 species